rnacentral:tRNA from 1 species
GGCGGUGUAGCUCAGCUGGUUAGAGCGUUCGGUUCAUACCCGAAAGGUCGGGGGUUCGAUUCCCUCCACCGCUACCA